CUUUUGUUUGUCUGAAAUCUUGAGUUUUCAAAAUGGAACUUUAUUUCGUAUCACGCCCUUGUUAUAUUACUAUAUGCAGCUGUCUGAACACAUAGCUAAUUGCCUUGUUCAGCAGAUAUCCGUGCGAAAUUUACAAUGUGGAAACUGAUUGGUUAAAACACUAAUUUCAAUGGUCAUUUUGCCUAUUUUGACGGUGAGGUAGACAUGACCAAUUGAUAUUUGUUACUUUGUAUAGGUUAUUUCUUUU